CACGUAGGGUGCGAGCGUUGUCCGGAAUUAUUGGGCGUAAAGAGCUCGUAGGCGGUGUGUCGCGUCGGCCGUGAAAACCUGCAGCUUAACUGUGGGCGUGCGGUCGAUACGGGCAUCACUGGAGUUCGGCAGGGGAGACUGGAAUUCCUGGUGUAGCGGUGAAAUGCGCAGAUAUCAGGAGGAACACCGGUGGCGAAGGCGAGUCUCUGGACGACUCCUGACACUGAGGCACGAAAGCUGGGGGAGCAAACAGG
rnacentral:rRNA from 1 species